rnacentral:rRNA from 1 species
GAUGAACGCUGGCGGCGUGCCUAAUACAUGCAAGUCGAGCGAACGGACGAGAAGCUUGCUUCUCUGAUGUUAGCGGCGGACGGGUGAGUAACACGUGGAUAACCUACCUAUAAGACUGGGAUAACUUCGGGAAACCGGAGCUAAUACCGGAUAAUAUUUUGAACCGCAUGGUUCAAAAGUGAAAGACGGUCUUGCUGUCACUUAUAGAUGGAUCCGCGCUGCAUUAGCUAGUUGGUAAGGUAACGGCUUACCAAGGCAACGAUGCAUAGCCGACCUGAGAGGGUGAUCGGCCACACUGGAACUGAGACACGGUCCAGACUCCUACGGGAGGCAGCAGUAGGGAAUCUUCCGCAAUGGGCGAAAGCCUGACGGAGCAACGCCGCGUGAGUGAUGAAGGUCUUCGGAUCGUAAAACUCUGUUAUUAGGGAAGAACAUAUGUGUAAGUAACUGUGCACAUCUUGACGGUACCUAAUCAGAAAGCCACGGCUAACUACGUGCCAGCAGCCGCGGUAAUACGUAGGUGGCAAGCGUUAUCCGGAAUUAUUGGGCGUAAAGCGCGCGUAGGCGGUUUUUUAAGUCUGAUGUGAAAGCCCACGGCUCAACCGUGGAGGGUCAUUGGAAACUGGAAAACUUGGGUGCAGAAGAGGAAAGUGGAAUUCCAUGUGUAGCGGUGAAAUGCGCAGAGAUAUGGAGGAACACCAGUGGCGAAGGCGACUUUCUGGUCUGUAACUGACGCUGAUGUGCGAAAGCGUGGGGAUCAAACAGGAUUAGAUACCCUGGUAGUCCACGCCGUAAACGAUGAGUGCUAAGUGUUAGGGGGUUUCCGCCCCUUAGUGCUGCAGCUAACGCAUUAAGCACUCCGCCUGGGGAGUACGACCGCAAGGUUGAAACUCAAAGGAAUUGACGGGGACCCGCACAAGCGGUGGAGCAUGUGGUUUAAUUCGAAGCAACGCGAAGAACCUUACCAAAUCUUGACAUCCUUUGACAACUCUAGAGAUAGAGCUUUCCCCUUCGGGGGACAAAGUGACAGGUGGUGCAUGGUUGUCGUCAGCUCGUGUCGUGAGAUGUUGGGUUAAGUCCCGCAACGAGCGCAACCCUUAAGCUUAGUUGCCAUCAUUAAGUUGGGCACUCUAAGUUGACUGCCGGUGACAAACCGGAGGAAGGUGGGGAUGACGUCAAAUCAUCAUGCCCCUUAUGAUUUGGGCUACACACGUGCUACAAUGGACAAUACAAAGGGCAGCGAAACCGCGAGGUCAAGCAAAUCCCAUAAAGUUGUUCUCAGUUCGGAUUGUAGUCUGCAACUCGACUACAUGAAGCUGGAAUCGCUAGUAAUCGUAGAUCAGCAUGCUACGGUGAAUACGUUCCCGGGUCU